GGCUUUUAUUAACAGCAGCAAGAAUGGCAAUACUGCAACAUUGGCAACACUGAAACUCAGGCUGUUGAUAGCUGUGUGUGCUUCAGUAUGCUCAGGAUUUGUGGGCCUCUCAUCCCAUGGCAGAUGUACUUCCAGCAACCUUCCUAAACUGCCUUAACCAAGAGUCAUUAAGGAGUUGGGCAGCCUUGAAAUUGGAUAUAAUGAUGAUGAUGAAGAUGAUGAUGACUGCAAGCCUCUGCAAACAGUGAAAAUAUCCAAUUGCACUGAAUCAGAUCCAUUCCCAAAAAACAUGCACAAUAUCAAGAUGACUAUAAAAUUCAAAUCGAUGAUGAAAAUGCAUCAAGUUCAAUAAAGCGGUAAUGAAAAUCA